GUCAUAGGAGAGUGCAGAUCGUUGGACUUUGAUGAACAGUUAGAUCCAGCAUCAACCGUCUGAGUGCCAUUUUCAUGAUUUUCAGGUUCAUUCCCUGAUGAAUUCAUGACCGGGGGUGCUAGACUUUCAGUUGCUGCAGAAGAAUCAGAGUAAGGCUUCAAUGGCGAGCCCAACUUCUUGUCACUGGACUUCACAGCCUCAGUCUUUGUAAUUUUUCCCUCAGUCGUAUCAGGUUCACAGUUGGUGCUUUUCACAGAUAGUACAUCCUGCUUCUCAU
rnacentral:lncRNA from 1 species